rnacentral:tRNA from 1 species
GGGGUUGUAGCUCAGUGGUAGAGUGCUUGCCUGGCAAGUGUGAGGCAUUUGGUUCAAUCCUCAGCACCA